rnacentral:tRNA from 1 species
GGGGGUGUGGCGGAACUGGUAGACGCGCUAGACUCAAAAUCUUGUUCGCUCAGCGAGUGAGAGUUCAAGUCUCUCCACCCCUACCA